GACGAACGCUGGCGGCGUGCUUAACACAUGCAAGUCGAACGGAAAGGCCCUGCUUUUGUGGGGUGCUCGAGUGGCGAACGGGUGAGUAACACGUGAGUAACCUGCCCUUGACUUUGGGAUAACUUCAGGAAACUGGGGCUAAUACCGGAUAGGAGCUCCUGCUGCAUGGUGGGGGUUGGAAAGUUUCGGCGGUUGGGGAUGGACUCGCGGCUUAUCAGCUUGUUGGUGGGGUAGUGGCUUACCAAGGCUUUGACGGGUAGCCGGCCUGAGAGAGUGACCGGCCACAUUGGGACUGAGAUACGGCCCAGACACCUACGGGAGGCAACAGUGGGAAAUAUUGCAAAAUGGGCGGAAGCCUGAUGCAGCAACGCCGCGUGCGGGAUGACGGCCUUCGGGUUGUAAACCGCUUUCGCCUGUGACGAAGCGUGAGUGACGGUAAUGGGUAAAGAAGCACCGGCUAACUACGUG
rnacentral:rRNA from 1 species